CAGUCGCCGCGGUAAUACGUAGGGGGCAAGCGUUAUCCGGAAUUACUGGGUGUAAAGGGAGCAUAGACGGUUAAACAAGUCUGAAGUGAAAUGCCGGGGCUCAACCCCGGAGCUGCUUUGGGAACUGUAGAACUGGAGUGUCGGAGGGGUAAGCGGAAUUCCCAGUGUAGCGGUGAAAUGCGUAGACAUUGGGAGGAACACCGGCGGCGAAGGCGGCUUACUGGACGACAACUGACGUUGAGGCUCGAAGGCGUGGGUGGCAAACUGGAUUAGAUACCCGUGUAGUCCCUGUCUCUUAUAC
rnacentral:rRNA from 1 species